CCUACGGGUGGCUGCAGUGGGGAAUAUUGGACAAUGGGCGAAAGCCUGAUCCAGCCAUGCCGCGUGUGUGAAGAAGGCCUUCGGGUUGUAAAGCACUUUCAGUGGGGAAGAAAGCCUUGGGGCUAAUACCCUCGAGGAAGGACAUCACCCACAGAAGAAGCACCGGCUAACUCCGUGCCAGCAGCCGCGGUAAUACGGAGGGUGCGAGCGUUAAUCGGAAUUACUGGGCGUAAAGCGCGCGUAGGCGGUCUGAUAAGCUGGUUGUGAAAGCCCCGGGCUCAACCUGGGAACGGCAUCCGGAACUGUCAGGCUAGAGUGCAGGAGAGGAAGGUAGAAUUCCCGGUGUAGCGGUGAAAUGCGUAGAGAUCGGGAGGAAUACCAGUGGCGAAGGCGGCCUUCUGGACUGACACUGACGCUGAGGUGCGAAAGCGUGGGUAGCAAACAGGAUUAGAUACCCGAGUAGUC
rnacentral:rRNA from 1 species